CCUAAUUUUUAACAAAAGCAACGACAAAAUCAACUCAAAACUACUAUUUUCUCUAAUUUUUAAAUACUACUCAGCCUCCACCCAAACACAAACUCUACACACCCACCACUAGUCACCAUCGUCACCACAGCCGAACCUACACAGUUCUUCCCACCUCCUCAUAAAUCAAUUCUUUAAAAAUCAGCCUUGGCGGAAUUGCCGUCACUCUUUGUCUCGAAUCCCACACAACUACUGCAAUAUGUUGUUCUUGAAUCUAGUAUCGUGAUUUACAUCGCGAUCGAAAGAACUAGUGUUGGCAUCGUGGUGAUGAAAGGGGGAGCGCGAGGAGAGAGAGGAUAGUAAGAGGAGAGUGGAGAGAAAAUCGACCUUGAUGAAAACGAAAGAAAAAUGGCAAGAGAGGAGAUGAAGAUGCGCAAGAUGGAACAAGUCUCAUAUAUGUGCAAAGCUGUUAGUUGAAU
rnacentral:lncRNA from 1 species